rnacentral:lncRNA from 1 species
NNNNNNNNNNNNNNNNNNNNNNNNNNNNNNNNNNNNNNNNNAGGGACCGGAAUUCUAAAUUUGGUAGAUCUAGAAGCACUGAAAAAUAAGGCCAGUGUGGUAAAAACAUUGCAUCGUACUAUUGCCCAGGGACAAGAGCACCAGAUUGCUGAAUUGGUGCAAACUGGGGUAAACACAAUGAACUUGCAAUGGCAGACUUGGAAACAUGUUAAUCAGGCGUUCUGGGCUCAAUAUGCCACCAUGAGGGACAUAACGAAGAAAACAGCAUUAGCAUUGUGGUGUUCUGAACAACAAAUAUUAGCUAUUAUGCUGACAGAAAGAAAAAUAAACUGGGUACAAGGUAAAAAUAUAACAGUCUUAACUCCUCUGCUGACAAAACAUAAAAAUAACCUUUUCCUCCCUUAUGUUUCUGGAUGGUACAAGGCCCUGGAAUCAAACGUGUACACAUCAACCCUCAUGGGGCACAUCACUAUACAAGUAAUACGGGUCCAACCCCACAAAUAUAAAGUUACUCUGUGGCCCUUCAUAGCCCUCCCAGUUCUUCAGGGCAAACAUCUUUGGGCUCCUCAAUUGGUGGAAAUGUAUUUAAAUGAACAAGGGGAAAUCAUAGACCAUCGCUUGUGUUCCAGGUGGACUGCACAACAAUGGGUAUGUCCCACCUUACCAAAAUUAGAAGAGCCCUGCUCCUUACAACAUAAAAGCUUGGCAACUUGUUACUGGGAUGAACUAAAUAACGGUCCCACAAAAGUGUAUUUUGAUAGGAAAAGUUGUGCCUGUGCCAUUGGAUUAGAGAGGCUUGUAUGGCAAAACAAAUACAUCUCAGAACCGCCUGUAAAACAGUGUAUGUGUAAUAUCACUAUGUUAAAAACUCCCACCCUAACCUAUUACUGCCCAACUCAUGAGGAUAAAGGAACUAACACGCUGGAUACCAGUAAUAUGCUAAACUUUAACUUCCCUUUGGGAGUCAAUUGGACAAGUCUGUACAAACUAAUACAGGACAAUAGACAAAUUAGCCAACUGACUGAAGCCACACAGACCCAGGUUCAAACACGCAGUUUGGCUAUUUUACAUCAGGGAUCUGAAAUAUUAAGAGUAUCUGCACAAGCGGAGCAAAUCAUGACGCACCAUUGGUAUGAUAUUUUAAAGGGAUGGUCCCCAUCCUGGUCUUCAACUUUAACAAUUAUGUUACAUCCAAUUGUUGUUUUCUUUAUUCUGAUAAGCUUAAUGUUAAUCAUAAUGUGUGGUAUGUGUUGCUGGAUGAAAAGACUGUACUUUAAGCUAAAACCACAAGCUCAUAUUGUUUCCCAAUAUAUAGCCUUAAAACAAUUGCAUAAAGUGUGACCCAUUCAAUACCCCUGGAUUGAAGGGUCAAAAGGGGGACAAUGUAGAACCAAUGUGAAUGAAAUUGUUUUUAAGUUAUCCACUGUACCAUUGUAACUUCUGUUGCUACAUUGUAACUUCUAUUACACUUGCCAUUUUGCCUACAUUGUAACUUCUAUUACACUUG